GACGAACGCUGGCGGCGUGCUUAACACAUGCAAGUCGAACGGAAAGGCCCUGCUUUUGUGGGGUGCUCGAGUGGCGAACGGGUGAGUAACACGUGAGUAACCUGCCCUUGACUUUGGGAUAACUUCAGGAAACUGGGGCUAAUACCGGAUAGGAGCUCCUGCUGCAUGGUGGGGGUUGGAAAGUUUCGGCGGUUGGGGAUGGACUCGCGGCUUAUCAGCUUGUUGGUGGGGUAGUGGCUUACCAAGGCUUUGACGGGUAGCCGGCCUGAGAGGGUGACCGGCAACAUGGGAACUGAGUACCGGCCAGACUCCUACGGGAGGCAGCAGUGGGGAAUAUUGCACAAUGGGCGGAAGCCUGAUGCAGCAACGCCGCGUGCGGGAUGACGGCCUUCGGGUUGUAAACCGCUUUCGCCUGUGACGAAGCGUGAGUGACGGUAAUGGGUAAAGAAGCACCGGCUAACUACGUG
rnacentral:rRNA from 1 species